UACGGAGGGUGCAAGCGUUAUCCGGAUUCACUGGGCUUAAAGGGUGCGUAGGCGGCCAAGUAAGUCAGGUGUGAAAGUUUGCGGCUCAACCGUAAAAUUGCUUUUGAUACUGCUAGGCUGGAAUUAGGAUGAGGUCAGCGGAAUGUGGCAUGUAGCGGUGAAAUGCAUAGAUAUGCCAUAGAACACCAAUGGCGAAGGCAGCUGGCUAGACCUGGAUUGACGCUGAGGCACGAAAGCGUGGGGAGCGAACAGG
rnacentral:rRNA from 1 species